rnacentral:rRNA from 1 species
AAACUUUCAACAACGGAUCUCUUGGCUCUGGCACCGAUGAAGAACGCAGCGAAAUGCGAUAACUAGUGGGAAUUGCAGGUUUCAGUGAAUCAUCGAGUCUUUGAACGCACAUUGCGCCCGCUGGUACUCCGGCGGGCACGCCUGUCCGAGCGUCAUUU